CAGCUGCUGAGCUCCCUGCUUCUCUGUGUCACUGGCACCCACUCCCACCCACAUGAAGGAGUCUCCAGGGGUCACCAGAAUAAAAGCGUCGUUAGCGUUCAGGUUGGAUGCCACCGCAUCGAGCUGCAUGAACACAGAGAGUUGGAUCGCACCUGGAAGAGUCUGGUCUCCGCAGGAGCGGACUGACCUCCUUCUCUGGACGUUCCUCCCUUGUACACCACCAUGGGCUGUCCUCCAAACAGACUCAUCAGAUGGGCUGGCUCUUUCCCCUGCACCACCCUCACCUUGAACACCAACAUCUCAAUUAAAACGACGUAAACUCGGGCCCUCCCGCUGCGCUCGUUGUCACGGAUACCUUUGGCUACCUGCGUAGCCUUGAGCUUCUCAAAGCGGUUGCUCUGGGAGCCACACCACUGGAAAAUCUCCUGUAUAACAAAAAGAGGAGCUGAUUGCAAAGCGGAUGAAUAACAUCUUUACAAAAGGUCCAUGAUGAAGCAGUCUCCCUGGUUGAAGCUGUCCCAGCUCACUGGCACCUCUGUUGCCCGGACAACACGACGACCUUUGACCUGGAGCACCCGCUGCACAACCACCUCGUUGGUGACAACGUGCUUGAACCCAGACGCCACGCCUCCUUUCUGGAAGAUAAGAGUCAUACAUCAAAUUUUCAAAAUAAAAUACCUGCCUUAUAAAGAAACAUUAAUCUCAACCAAACUGAAAGAAAUAUUAAAACAUGGGAAAUCAUUUUAAUAGCUUUUGGUAAAUUUAGACACUUAAGUGAAAAAAUUGUUAUGAUGUCAUAACAAAAUGGAUCUUCUAUUUUAUGGAUGCUGAAUGACAAGAUUCAGGUUUUGUGUUUUACUUUGAAUAGUAGUAGUGAUUCUUCAUAAAUGACAGGCUCUUCCAUUUUAUACAUGCUAAAUAAAAAAUGCAGUUUAUUAUUUAAACUAUGAUGAAAUAUACCAAAACAAAAGCAUGAAAACACAUAUUUCUUGCAGACAUGAAAUCUUACCAUGUAUUUGAUUCCAGACUUGAAGUAGCCCAGAAAGGUUUUGGACUCGUGUCCCUGGACCUCGCGGUACUGGAUGGGUUUCCCCCCCAGGAAGUCGUCCAUUUGGACCGUAAAGAUUGCUGCCGAGCCACUCUCAUCCUGGGUGCAGAAAUCACCUGCACCAGAGAAACCGUGCACAUGCUCCAUAUUAAUCCAAGUCUUGUUCUGUCUCAGCAGUCAUACUCUACAUCUACCCAGAGAGUUCUCUCACAGAGGACUCGGUCAGGGGAUUGAUGCUUGGGAGCAGCACAGGGUCCGAUCCCAGCAGACACAUUAAUACGUGCAACAUUUUUCUAUUUCUGGUCACACCAUGUAGUUCAGAGGCAUGUAGGACGGUUACAUCAGAUCCUGUUUAUUGUUAAAUGGUGUUUCCAUGAUCAAUCAAGCGGACUAAAAGCCCAUGAAAUCAAUAAAGAAAAAAAGAGCAGACUCAGCUUCUGGCUUUUCUGUUUCCUCUCAGCUAAAUCCUAAAAAAAUGACACGGUCAGACACACCACCGUCUGUCAAUACCUUUUACAGGACUAAUCUUUUAGCUCUGGCUGAACCAGAUACCAUUUUGAGCUUUAACUUAAAAUACAGACACUGAAAUCAAUCCAUGACUAACCCUUUUCAGUGAAAAUAGCAUGUUAACAUUGCUGUCCAGUGAAAACCAUCCCACCAAAUAUGUCCAUAUUUGGUGAAUUAUUGUGUCUCCAAAUCCAAAAAAGCUUCAAACGUUGUCUGACAGCAGCAGGUCACUUUGCAGAUUCUGAAUUUACACACAAACUUUUGAUCAGUUCAGUUAUAGUUUAUUCUGUAUGUAGUGUCUCCUUUUUCUUUUUGUUGCUCAUGCUACAUACUGUAUAUAUUAGAUGCUCUAGUCUUUUUGGUUACUUGUCUAUAACAAACCACUUUUCUGUAUCUGUUUGAACCUCUGUGCAGUUUCCCUGUGUAAUAUCAGUAAAGUUAACAAGUGAUAACUGCUUAUAUAUUAGUGUAUACAAAGUAGUUCAAAUUUGCAUCACCUCUGUCAGCUACAAUAUUUAAAUGCUGCUUAGCUGUUGAUACAAUUCAUGAGUGAUAAUGAUCCAGUAUUCUGACUUUUCUGGUUUUACUUUUGCUGAUAAGACUUAGGUCUAGAUUUAGGAUUUUAGGGCAAAUUUUUACAUUUUUACAAAGUUGAGUUGCUGAUUUUUUGUCAGGGGUCAGAGCAUGUUUGUUUACGCUCAGUAUUGGUGCAAAAUAAUAUAGACAAAACAGCAGCGUUUACACAGCAUUGUCUGUGAAUUUACAGUGAACGGAAACGCAUUGAAAAUGUGAAGCUGUUGUUUACUGCACACAGGCCCUUCAUCACAUGGCUGGGUUCAGCACGAAUAGUAAAAACUGCAUAGCUGCAACACUGUCAAGUGAAAUUGGGUUCCAGGAACACAGACACAGAUCCUUAUCUGCUUUGCAAGUCAAACAGGAUCGUAGCAACAUUGGAAAAAUAAGAUCAGCUCUUCUAUGUUUCGCAGCGUGUCCAUGGAAACAAGAUUCAUCAGCAAAAAUGUCUCAUGUCGCUUCAAAAAAUGAUUUGGUGCCUUCAGGCUGCAUAGUUAUAAAGAACAGAAAGAUAUUUUUUUAUCUUAAAUUGUUUAUGAAACAUUAAAAUUCUUAUUUAUCA